rnacentral:rRNA from 1 species
UACGAAGGGGGCUAGCGUUGCUCGGAAUGACUGGGCGUAAAGGGCGCGUAGGCGGCUGGGGAAGUCCGUGGUGAAAGCUCGUGGCUCAACUGCGAGUCGGCCAUGGAUACUCCUCGGCUUGAGCACUGUAGAGGCAGGUGGAAUUCCGGGUGUAGCGGUGGAAUGCGUAGAGAUCCGGAAGAACACCGGUGGCGAAGGCGGCCUGCUGGGCAGUAGCUGACGCUGAGGCGC